rnacentral:rRNA from 1 species
AUGCCGACCUUGAGCCCAACAAUCAUUGUACUAGAUCAUACUAGAGGGUUGAUGACUGCCGGAUAUAGAAAUUUCCCGCUCCCUAGAUCUAGUCAUCUGAACCAAGGGUCUUGCGUGCUGUUCACAGCUCACUGUUACCCUCAAAGAGCAAGGGAGAUUUUUCCUCUGGAUCAAGUGGCAUUCAAGAUCCGGCUCCAUCACACUACUAAAAAAUUGAUCAUCUCCUCAACUUGGUGUGCACUUUCUUUUGGGUGCAAGCCACACCUUUUCCUUUACAAAGAAAUGGUGAUAGUCUCCGUUAAGUGA